rnacentral:ncRNA from 22 species
UCUGCGCUGAAAGUUUCAGGUGCUUGUUGCAAGCACAAUAGGGAAUUCCGUGAAAUUCGGGAGUGGGCCCGCCGCUGUAACCAGGGACGAUCAACACAUUUGGCCACUGACUUAGAGUCGGGAAGGCGUGUUGAGACGGAAGAUCUGGAAGCCAGAAGACCUGCCUGAAACGCAAUGGUUGCA